AUAAAAAUUGAUGAACAUUGAAGAUUUAUUCAAUUUAUUUUAAUUAUAUGGGUAAAACGGACAAUGCUCAAACGAUAAUUAGCGCUGAUGCGCAAAUGAUGUACGAUAUUUUGGCACAGGUAAACAGACGAUGCGCAAAUGAUGUACGGCCGU